GAAGCCCAUCCAUUGCCAGGUAUUCUAGCGUGUACCUCAGAUCAUGAACUUUUCACAACACUGACCAUCCUUAAAUGUUUGGAAAGCGCAUAGCACAUAUUGGGAUCUAUAAAAAGAGGACAAUCUAAGAAAUACCUAUUUUACAGAAAUAGGAUGAACAGAUUGUGCAAGCUUUCACCACGUAGCUGCAACUGAAAGGCUUGGAGGUGUUGUGGGGGCCUUUUUGUUUCAACAAACCAACAUGACUUUUGUCCAAGGGAAAGCCACCCCCUAUGGAAGGAUUGGAUGAACUAGAACCUGCCAGUGUCUCCACAGGAGUGAUGCAGGCUACUGGUAAAAUUUAAAAUUUUGUUUCAACCAAAACGAUUUGGGAAAUCCGAUGUGAACUCAUGAAAUAGUCAACCCAGAUCUGCAUAAAAAGGUUCAUCCAAAAAAAAAUAAAAAAUACAUUCAUCUCUACUGAUGAGGCUCUCUUGUAUACCAUCACAUCAAUUAAGGGUUGUCAAACAAUCAGAAAGGCCUACAAGAGACAUAGCAAGAUGAACAGAGAUGUAAAAUGAAGGCAAGUGGAGGAGUGUGGCAUGCAAGAAUAAAGACAUAAAAGAUGGAAACAAGGUACAGAUACCCUAACAUAUCCAAGACAGAGAGAUAAGAUUAAUAAGAGCACAAGGGAACUCAGAAGCUCAACUAUAAGUCGUGAGCCAAGUAAUAAAAAGGAGUUACAUUAAUGAAAGAGGCAGCAACAAUCUUGACUGAUUACUCCACAGAUAGGAAUUCCGACAUCAUCCUCUCUGGCUCAAUAGUGAGAAGAAAACAGUAUGCAGCCUUGUGUGCAUCACAAUAAGAAGGUCUAAGAAUGAUGGAAAUCCCCACUAACAAUUGUCACCAUGGGAACACACACCAUUAGGUGAUGAAAGAUUAACUAUGUCAGAAGUCACUUCAGGAACCUAGCAAGAGGAAGGACAAAUUGUCUUUCAGAGCUUCUUCCAGUACGUGAGCGAACAAAUACCAGAAUCCGUUACAUUUACAGUCUGUGCUAUCUAAUCAGAUGUAAUACUAUCAUGUCUUGGAAUAAAUCACACAUAA